GGGGCGUUAGGCGAGUCGGGUAUAAGCCGCCACAGUCUCAAUGUGGAGGUCAUGAGUUCAAAUCUCAUACGCCCUG
rnacentral:tRNA from 1 species